AUAUCAAUAGCGGAGGAAAAGAAACUAACAAGGAUUCCCCUAGUAACGGCGAGUGAAGCGGGAAGAGCUCAAAUUUGUAAUCUGGCUAUUUCAUAGUCCGAGUUGUAAUCUCGAGAAGUGUUUUCCGUGCUGGACCGCAUACAAGUCUGUUGGAAUACAGCGCGCUAUAGGUGAGAACCCUGUUCAUGAUGCGGACUACCAGUGCUCUGUGAUACACUUUCAAAGAGUCGAGUUGUUUGGGAAUGCAGCUCAAAGCGGGUGGUAAAUUCCAUCUAAAGCUAAAUAUUGGCGAGAGACCGAUAGCGCACAAGUA
rnacentral:rRNA from 1 species